rnacentral:rRNA from 1 species
AAAAAAUGUAACAAGGUUUCCGUAGGUGAACCUGCGGAAGGAUCAUUA